AUUUACUGCAUUGUCUUUGGCACUGAGCAACCAGUUUGGACAAGUACUACUAACCCCAGCCCUGGCUGAUAGAUGUGAUUAAAUGCAAUGGAUUAUGGAGAGCUUCUCCUUUAGCAGUAGUUACUAGUUCAUUUCAAGAAGGCAUCAGCAUCUCAGCUGUGGUGUGAUGUUUUGUGUAUAAGAGCAAGCACUGGACUGAGGAGUAGAAAUCUUUUACUACUUCAGAGCUCGCAGGAUGAAGGAGACAACCCAGGAGGCUGCACACAGCGUGGUGGGCACACAGAAUAUUCAGCAUGAGGUGAGCAACUGGAAACCCACCACCUGUGUACAAGGAAUAUCUAAGAGAGCAACCUUCUGUGAAAGAACGAGGACAGUCUGCUCCUGUGAAGACUGACAGAGUGUUGUCAUGUUGCUCUAUGAAGAUUGCUUGAGCUUGUGCCUCUUCCUAGUGCAGGUCCCCUCUAGCGUGCCUGUAUUAAGGCAGUGGAAGAAGAAGGGAAGAAAAACAAACCACCAAACAUCUGAUUCAACAGUAUCGGUCCAGACAUCAGGUCUGCACCUGCUGUGGCUGCAAUGA
rnacentral:lncRNA from 14 species